rnacentral:rRNA from 1 species
AUUGAACGCUGGCGGCAUGCCUUACACAUGCAAGUCGAACGGCAGCACGGGAGCAAUCCUGGUGGCGAGUGGCGAACGGGUGAGUAAAGUAUCGGAACGUGCCCAGUCGUGGGGGAUAACGUAGCGAAAGUUACGCUAAUACCGCAUACGAUCUAUGGAUGAAAGCGGGGGAUCGCAAGACCUCGCGCGAUUGGAGCGGCCGAUAUCAGAUUAGGUAGUUGGUGGGGUAAAGGCUCACCAAGCCGACGAUCUGUAGCUGGUCUGAGAGGACGACCAGCCACACUGGGACUGAGACACGGCCCAGACUCCUACGGGAGGCAGCAGUGGGGAAUUUUGGACAAUGGGCGCAAGCCUGAUCCAGCCAUGCCGCGUGCAGGAUGAAGGCCUUCGGGUUGUAAACUGCUUUUGUACGGAACGAAAAGGUUUGGCUUAAUACGUUGAACUCAUGACGGUACCGUAAGAAUAAGCACCGACUAACUACGUGCCAGCCGCCGCGGUAAGAC